rnacentral:tRNA from 1 species
GCCUGGUUGGCUCAGUUGGUAGAGUGUGUGACUCUUGAUCUUCCGUUGUGAGUUUGAGCCCUACAUUGGGCA